rnacentral:rRNA from 1 species
GACGAACGCUGGCGGCGUGCUUAACACAUGCCAGUCGAACGGAAAGGCCCUGCUUGCAGGGUACUCGAGUGGCGAACGGGUGAGUAACACGUGGGUGAUCUGCCCUGCACUUCGGGAUAAGCCUGGGAAACUGGGUCUAAUACCGGAUAGGAGCCAUUUUUAGUGUGAUGGUUGGAAAGUUUUUUCGGUGUAGGAUGAGCUCGCGGCCUAUCAGCUUGUUGGUGGGGUAAUGGCCUACCAAGGCGGCGACGGGUAGCCGGCCUGAGAGGGUGGACGGCCACAGUGGGACUGAGAGACGGCCCAGACGCCGACGGGAGGCAGCAGUGGGGAAUAUUGCACAAUGGGCGCAAGCCUGAUGCAGCGACGCCGCGGGGGGGAUGACGGCCUUCGGGUUGUAAACUCCGUUCGCUAGGGACGAAGCUUUUUGUGACGGUACCUAGAUAAGAAGCACCGGCUAACUACGUG